rnacentral:lncRNA from 1 species
CUGCAAAAUCAUUCCCUGUUGUUAAUUUUAUUAAUUGUGUUAAUCUGUCUUGCUUAUUUCCAUAUAUUAUUUCAUCAUUGUCCUCACAUUUUACAAGCGUGGUCAGUCUACAUGCCAUUUGAGUCGGCAGCCAUAUUUUAAACAAUCUAUUCCUUUGUUCGUCAUUUAGGCUGUAUUUGUCUAAAUUAGACUCAAACAUUUCAGCAUUAGUAAAUGCAUCCACUGACGUGUCAUAAACUGGAAUACAUUUCACAAUUUUCAUUAAUUGUUCAUGGAUUUUCAAAUUAAGUUUUGCAGUUCUGUCUUGAAAUUUACAUUUCUGCAAAUCACUCAGUGAGGAUACAUUUUCAGUAUCUGUUAGUUCUGGGAUUAGAUUCUGUGCCUUUACUUUUCUUGUAUUAACACACACUUGCUUUACUUCAUUUGUAAACUGGCAACUAAAAUCAUUUCUUAGUUCAUCUCUAUCCUCUAAUUCACAGACUGUUUCUGACAAUGUUCUCUCUGUUACAUUGUUACACUGUUCAUUUAAAUCUGAUUUGUCUUCUGUUAACCCAUUCAAAUCUAUUUCUUUUUCUGCUGAUUCUAAAUUGUCUUUACCUGUAUUUCGUUUACAAAUCACUGCAUUGUAAGUACAGACUAGUUUCAUAACAUUUCUGAUCUUUUGUUUUUUCUUAUUAACAAACAAUUUCUUGUCAAUUUCACUAUUGGCAAUUUCACAUUGUGUGUAUAAAGAUUGCCACAAUACAGCAUCUGAAUAGCUGCUAUUAAAUGCAAACUGCAAUUUACUUUUCUCUGCAAUAUCAUUUAUGAAUUCCAUGUUACUCACCAGAUCAGUUAUUUCUGUCUAUUUCGUUGCUUCAUCCACACAGCUGCGCAGUUCUUUGCUUGGACGCUUGCCAAUGUCUGCCACGUGCUUGCUUCUAGAAUUCACGUUGUAUCUUGUGCUUUUUGUCUCAGUUGUAGAAAAUAGUCUUGUACAGUCUUUAUGAUUUGAAAACUCUAUUUUUCUUACAAACCACAGUUCUUCUAUGACAGUCAGUCUAGAUUCUUUUUUUCUCUUCAAGUUUGUUUUCCCAGUUCCAAAAUAGCUUUGUAACUCGAUUCUUCUCUCUCCCCCCUUGAAGUGGGAACAAAACUUGAAUAGAAGACUGGCAGGCUAGCCAAUGUAAAAAAUGUAGAUGAAUGGAUGUUCAUGUAGACUCUUUCUUAAUUUCUUCUUGUCUUCAGUUGAUUGAUAUAUAUACGUCUUUUGUAUAUAUAUUCUUGGGCCAAAUGCUCGCCACAAUAAUAUAUGUCUAUAUUAUUGAAAAGUAGUAAUACGCAAUCUGACUUACGGUUUCUUCAGGUUUAUUCUUAGUUACGGAUACAUAAAACAACAAAUGAUGUUACAGGAUAAUGGACAUUCAACAGCAGAUGGUAAUUGCUGGACUUCUGAUGGGAGAGUUACAUCGUUGUACAGAGCCAAGCCAAGAGUAGACUGAGAGCCACCUCGUGUCCCUCUCUUACUAUAAGGAAGUGCCAAUACUAACGUCAGCAUAUAACUCUAGCCAUAUAAGGACAAAACCCCCACAUCCACAUUCCAGAGCUCUCGGACAAAGAAAGCCUUGUGACUUAUUGAUACCAUCUGUUACUUAUGUCAAUCCACACAUCCAUAUAUAAUC